rnacentral:rRNA from 1 species
CACGUAGGCACCAAGCGUUGUCCGGAUUUAUUGGGCGUAAAGAACUCGUAGGCGGUUCAGUAAGUCGGGUGUGAAAACUUUGGGCUUAACCCAAAGCGUGCAUCCGAUACUGCUGUGACUUGAGUACGGUAGGGGAGCGGGGAAUUCCUAGUGUAGCGGUGAAAUGCGCAGAUAUUAGGAGGAACACCGGUGGCGAAGGCGCCGCUCUGGGGCCAAAACUGACGCUGAGGGAGCGAAAGCAUGGGUAGCAAACAGG